rnacentral:rRNA from 1 species
CAGCGUCACGAGUGGCAUCCAUAUUUAUUGGGUCUAAAGUGUCCGUAGCUGGAUUUGAAAGUCUUUUGUGAAAGCGUUGAGCUUAACUUAACGAAUUGCAGGAGAUACUCCAAAUCUUGAGACCGGGAGGGGCUAGAGGUAUUCUUAGGGUAGCGGUAAAAUGCGAUAAUCCUGGGAGGACCACCUGUGGCGAAGGCGUCUAGCUAGAACGGGUCUGACAGUGAGGGACGAAGGCUAGGGGAGCGAUCCGGAUUAGAUACCCGAGUAGUCC